GCCUCCGGGCUCCGACGCCUGCGCAAUGCGGAGUAUAUGGUAGUGGGGCGGGGCGGCUUCGCAGUGUUUGCCCCGCCUGCUCUUACAAGUCUCCACUGAGGGCGAGUCCACCGCCUCCCUAGGUAAUUUAUGCCAGCGCUUAGCCGCCCUGACAGGAAGCUUUCCCUGAUGGCCAAGGGAGUCUCUCAAGAAUCAUCGAGGACCCAUGCCUGAAGUUGCAGUAUUUCCAGAUUAGGGUGAUGCACCUGACUGGCAUUCUGAGACAACAGAUGAAAACCAGUUGGAAGUCUCAGUGGUGGACAAGAAGCAAGCCAAAUGAGGUAUAGCAGCCAAGGAAGACCAGUUAGCAGAUUUACAUCCUCUCAGUGCAGCUGAACAAUGCCAAAUACUAAUAAUAAUGCUCAUUGUAGUAUCUGCCUGCGUGAACCAAAUUAUGUAGGGAUAUAUUAGUGUCUGCAGAUGUCACUGGCUGCUUCUCCCCAAGGAGACUCCUGAAUAGUGAGCCUGAGGCUGGCCUUCCAUGCUUCUAAAGAUAAACUCACAGAGCUAAAACCAGAAUUGGGCAAGAGUACUCCAGGCCAAGACUUAGUACCAGUGCCACAUACUCUGCCUCUUCCCCCUGCUAAAAGGCCCAUGCCAUGCAUUGGCUUUUGACACUCAGGGCCUCCAAGUUUGAAGUUGGUAAUACAGAGCGGUGGGUCAAACAAGUAGAGUUAGCAGGUCCCAACUCACCCAAGGUUCAAGUAACUUCUGAUGUGGGAGAUACUUAUAGGACCACUGCUUGAAAUUGGAUGGCUGCCCAUAAAUCUGCUUGGUUACAAAUAAGUGGGCUUUAACAAGAGAUCCAGAGAGAGCUUAAGGACCUGAUAUUACAACAUAGAGAACUUGUUUGGAGAACAGGAGCAAAAGGAGAGAGGCCUCACAGUCUCUCCAAAUAUUCUUUCAAGGGAAGAUUCUGGUUCGUAAGUGGACUUUCAUGUCAACAACGAACUUCAAGGAAACUCACUACUCCCCUGCACUGGGUGCACUGUGCACUGUCUCAGCUAUGCCAAAAUCAGAGGAAUUUAGAAAAUGUGCUAUGGUAGUUAAAUGAGGAACAGACAUUCUGAGAGGACACUUCCGCCAAUACCAUUGUGUAGGGUGCCUGAUAUAAUGAACAAGGUCACACCUGCUCACAUCCAAGUAUAAGUGGAAGGACUCCAGAGAGAGACACUAACAUCCUGGAGACUGACAUUGCCCAGGGAAGGGUCAAUCAGGGACACUGGAAUUAAACCUAUAAACAGACUGCAUGCUGACAACCUGCAAGAGAAACAAGAUUGAGAACGUACAGCAGUGAAUUUACCUCAAAGGGAAAUCUCUUUCUUAACUCUGACAAGAAGAGCAAAAAGUACCUCACCUGAUCCACUUAGUUAAGAAGACCUCCAAAGAGGGACAAACAGGCUACAUUCAGCAGGGAAGUGCAGGGGGAAAAGAGACAGUCAUGAGUAACAGCAAGAUUAGGGAAUGAAGUUACAUAUUCUGCACACCAGAGGAAACAUAUUACCCUAAGAAAAAAUUCUCAAACCAGUCAAAAAGUGAUAUUUACAUAUUGCUAGAAUCAGUUCUUCACCUGAAAUGGUAUUUCAGUUGUUGCAUGUAACUCAAGAGGAAGCAUUCCUUAUAUUUAACAUAUUGAUUAUGAACACAGCAAAAUAUAUUCAGUUUACCUUUAUUGAGUUGACAAAUACCAGCCAAAAAAAACACAUUUAUAAAAAUCAAAAUAUUUAAAUAACCAGCAAUUGAGAGAAGUGCCCUUACUAGUUCAAUGAAUAAGAUCUAGCAACUACUCUAUAGUUGAAAGUUAUUUUUUUAACCUAACAUCUUUUGUGCAGCUUUUCUAUUAUGCUGUGUGGAGAUAUUAAUCAAAGUUGUAUGCCCCAAUUCUGUAAUGACAAUGACAUUUAUGAAACCAACUCUUUCAAAAAAUAGUAAACUGUUCUUUUGGACAUAAAAUCAUCAUGUGUUGCACUGCCACAUUCUAUGGUGCAGUCAAGUACAUAAAAUAAAUGUUAGUUGGUAUGUUAUCAGUGAACAAACUAUCUAAAUCAUUAGUUUAACCUCAUUUCACAUGGUAUACAAAGGAACUAUUUUCACUGCUAACUUGAAAUACUACACAAGGAAACAAGCAAUUCAGUAAAAAAUGGUCAGAGAUCUCCUCAAACUGAUAUACUAAUACAGUAUAUUUCAGAAACUGACUAAAAGUUAAGCUACUAAAACAUGAACAAAGUUUUUUUGCCACAAGUGUAUAUGAUUUCAGAAAUACUAAAACGUGGCUAAACUGCAUUGAAACUGUACAUCUGAUUCAGCAGAAUACAAUACAUAUUAAUCCAGGCAAAAAAAAGUUUAAGGACAAAAGUUUCAACAUAAAUAAUUUGCAGCAUUUAUUCAAUAUUGAAUAUUCAGAUACUUUAUCAAGCCAGUUACAUGUAAAGUAACCUCUGCCAUUUAAAUGUAUAAUGUGCAUUAUCUAAAAUUACUAGAAUGCAGUAGCUUACAAUUUACAGUUAGCUUUGAAUGAACCAAAAAAAGUGAAACUGGUUUUAAUAUUGAGAUUAGAGGGAAUAGCGUACACUACCUGUAACAGACAUUUAAAUGACUUUCAUGGCAAGCUCAAUCUAUGUAGAAAGAAAAGGGAGUCAUUUCAAGAACUAUGAAUUCUUUCAGUUUAGGAUUUGAACACUUACCUUCAAAAUUAAAUUUCAGUUUUAUUUUUUCCAAAUAAUGAGGGAACCAAAUAUUACAUUAGAUUUACUAUAACAAAGCCUGCUCUGAACAUCUAAACCCUGUUUCUAUCGAGAGCAGAACAAGGAAGUUCCUCCACCGGCAAGAUAGUUAUUCCACCCAGAUUUAUGAUUGGAAAGAACUCCUUCAUUUUUUCUUGAUUAAUACCUUCAAGCUGCUCAUGAAGAGCAAGAUCACAAGUACAAUGGGUAAACUGUUCUAAAUAUGACUUCAAGCAAAAGAAAUAUUCAGAACGAAGUUGCUUUUUUAUCUCAACAACUGUUUUCAAGUUGAAACUAGACUUGGAAAUUCACCCAUACAGUCAGUUGACACAUCUCCUGACAUUUUCAGUGGAUGUUAGUUCCCAUGCCAGGCAUAUCUGAUAUCUAAAAUACAGAGUUAUGUGAAUUUAUAACAGCACUUUAUGAAGAUUUAAUGUGUAACACACUUACACUUGACAAAGGAAAUAUUUUAUAACUUUAAUAUAUUAAACAUCUCAGCAAAGAACAUAAAGCCUAUGCACACAAUACAGUGACAUGAACAAACACUAAAGACUUAUUUUUCCUUUCAAUAGCACUGACAUUGUGAAUGGUUAACAAGUUAUACUAUAUCCUAAAACAGUCUCCUUUCUCCACACAACCUAUACAUACAGUAUCAUAUGGAUAUAUUACAUAGCACAGAAACAAGCAGCAGAUGCAUUAAGGGAAUAGGGGCUAUAUGCAUCAUAUAGCCUGCCUAGGAAGAGGCAAACGUCAGAAAACCAUUUAUGCAAUUAGCAUAGAUACAAUCAGUAGAGCUAAUUAAAUACCCGUCAUUUUCAAAAGUCAAUCCACAGCAAGGGGAAGAAAGGCUUUAGAGAGAGUUUUGCACCCAGCUUCAGAAGCAAUAUGAGCAGAUUAAG